rnacentral:rRNA from 1 species
AUUGAACGCUGGCGGCAGGCCUCACACAUGCAAGUCGAACGAGUGGCGGACGGGUGAGUAAUGUCUGGGAAACUUCCUGAUGGAGGGGGAUCACUACUGGAAACGGUAGCUAAUACCGCAUACCAUCGGAUGUGCCCAGAUGGGAUUCGCUAGUAGGUGGGGUAACGGCUCACCUAGGCGACGAUCCCUAGCUGGUCUGUGAGGAUGACCAGCAAAACUGGAACUGAGACACGGUACAGACUCCUCCGGGAGGCAGCAGUGGGGAAUAUUGCACAAUGGGCGCAAGCCUGAUGCAGCCAUGCCGCGUGUAUGAAGAAGGCCUUCGGGUUGUAAAGUACUUUCAGCGGGGAGGCGUUACCCGCAGAAGAAGCACCGGCUAACUCCGUGCCAGCAGCCGCGGUAAUUC